GACGAACGCUGGCGGCGUGGAUUAGGCAUGCAAGUCGAACGGUAGGAUACCUUCGGGUAUCUGAGAGUGGCGAACGGGUGAGUAACACGUAGGUGAUCUACCCUCAAGAUUGGGACAACCCAGGGAAACUUGGGCUAAUACCGGAUGAAAGCAGCAGUGAUGUUGUUUGAAAGGUGGCGUAAGCUGCCGUUUGGGGAUGAGCCUGCGCUCUAUUAGUUAGUUGGCGGGGUAAAGGCCCACCAAGGCGAUGAUAGAUAGGCGGCCUUAACGGGUGGUCGCCCACACUGGGAUUGAGAUACGGCCCAGACUCCUACGGGAGGCAGCAGUCGAGAAUAGUCUACAAUGGCCGAAAGGCUGAUAGUGCGACGCCGCGUGAACGAAGAAGCCCUUCGGGUGUAAAGUUCUUUUAUAUGUGAGCAGUGCUUUCUAUGUGAACAGCAUGGGGAGAGAGAUAUUAGCAUAUGAAUAAGCAACGGCUAAACUCCGUGCCAGC
rnacentral:rRNA from 1 species